rnacentral:lncRNA from 1 species
GACGGUCUUCCUGGUCCUGUGGGCGGGGUGGCCUUCUGUCUGGGACUCGGUUUUCGUGGUGGAAGUCAUGGUCACUCGUCGAGCUCUGCAUUUCGUUUUCAAAGUGGGGAACCGCUUCCAGACGGUGCAUUUCUUUCGAGAUGUCCUGGGGAUGCAGGUGCAGACUGUCACAGGGACUCACGCUUGCUUCCAGCCAGGCUGUCAGCAAUGCCAGGAGGCUGGAGUGGCCACUCAGUAAAGUUGCAGAAGGGGUUUUUGAAACUGAGGCCCCAGGAGGAUAUAAGUUCUACUUACAGGACAGAAGUCCAUCUCAAUCAGAUCCUGUAUUAAAGGUGACUCUAGCAGUGUCUGAUCUCCAGAAGUCCUUGAACUACUGGUCUAAUCUCUUAGGAAUGAAAAUUUAUGAGCAAGACGAGGAAAAGAAAUGGGCUUUGCUGGGCUAUGCUGAUGACCAGUGCAAGCUGGAGCUACAGGGCAUCCAGGGUGCAGUUGAUCAUUCAGCGGCCUUUGGAAGAAUUGCCUUUUCUUGUCCUCAGAAAGAG